GUGGGGAAUAUUGGACAAUGGGCGAAAGCCUGAUCCAGCCAUGCCGCGUGUGUGAAGAAGGUCUUCGGAUUGUAAAGCACUUUAAGUUGGGAGGAAGGGCAGUAAGUUAAUACCUUGCUGUUUUGACGUUACCGACAGAAUAAGCACCGGCUAACUUCGUGCCAGCAGCCGCGGUAAUACGAAGGGUGCAAGCGUUAAUCGGAAUUACUGGGCGUAAAGCGCGCGUAGGUGGUUUUGUAAGUUGGAGGUGAAAUCCCCGGGCUCAACCUGGGAACUGGCUCCAAAACUGCAUGACUAGAGUACGGUAGAGGGUAGUGGAAUUUCCUGUGUAGCGGUGAAAUGCGUAGAUAUAGGAAGGAACACCAGUGGCGAAGGCGACUACCUGGACUGAUACUGACACUGAGGUGCGAAAGCGUGGGGAGCAAACAGGAUUAGAAACCCUGGUAGUCC
rnacentral:rRNA from 1 species